CUUAAAGGCAUAGGAGCGCGGGCGGCUGCGGCUGUGGGCGCUAUGUCCUCCCGCAGCCCAACGCAUUGCAGAGAGGGACGAUGGAGCUGGGGAAUGGACUGCAGCACACAUCCUAGGAAGAGUGCUUGGUGGAGCUGGGGGUGUUUAGCCCAGGGCCGACUCUCUACAGCCGCCUGAAAGGAAACUGUAGGCAGCAGUAAUACAUCAUUCUUGAGACUUUCUGCCUUUUGAUGCUGCUCUAAAUGAAGGGUGACUGAAAUGAGAACAUCAAGAACAAGCAGAUACUUCAGAACUGUUUCUGGUAAACAGUGCCUAUCCCACAGGUCUGCCUGUCCAAAGGAGAGGAAGGCCAUGACACAAAGUCCUGCAGGAACCUGGAACAUGGGUGACUGUCAUCUGCAUCAGUCUUUCUCUUCAGUCCAAAGCAGGAAGAUUCAACAAUGGAACAUGAAUAGGUGAGAGGAAUUAUAAAGUCUCAAUGCAAGUGAACAUACAGAUAAUUCUGAAACAAAAGAAAUUGCAAUUUCCCUACGACUGUGUGUUUCAUAUUCAUACUGAACACGUUAUCCCAUUUUACAUACUUCAUCAGUAUCUUCCUUAAUAGUCAUGUCUUCCCAAGAAGUCAGUGUAACUACAAAUUUGUAAAACUAAACUUUGCCUGUAGUCUCAAUACAGCAAAUAUAUGCAAUAUGCUUGGCAAGGCAUUGCAGCAAUAUGUGUAGAGGACCAUCUAAUCUCUUACUGGAUAUAAUAAACAUCAGAUACAAAGUCUCUGUAGUUCAAGUUUUUCUAUAUUGUAACUUAUUUGUUUCUGAGUAUUAAAUCAAAAGAAAAAUGUUUUUCAGCAAAAAUAAUAAAAUAAAUGCUAAAAAUUAAUAAGAAAUAAUAUCUUGGUAUGGACAUACCUUUGUGUCAGGUUUUAGCCUCCUUUAGGUAGUACAUCAAGAAAAGAAAGGACAAAGUAAUAACACAUGCCUUAGAGUCUGAACUCCAGUUUCCAUUUCACACAAAUGUAAUUAUUUUAUUCCUAUCAGCCAAUUUAAACUAUGCAGGGAUGUGAAUACAAGUGUAAUUAAACCUGCAUUUUGCUAUACAACAUAUCCUUUGGACUACUUUUCUUCUUAAAGCACAUCCACAUAAUCUUUGAUUUUAGCAAUAGGGAGAAGGGAGAAUAUAAUCUCUGUGGAAGGCUAGACACUCAUCUUUCCAAAGAUGCUAUACUUGAUUUGAACACCUAAUUCAUGUUUCCACUAAAAUCACUUUUUUCAAUUGAAGCAAGACAACAGCUUUCAUGUAAAAGGUAUUUUGUUCAGAAGUUUUCUUAGUAAUUGAAGUGGAUUUUCAUAGGUCUUAAGCUCUCACUUCUACAGCUAGGCAGACUUGAAAGGAAAAUAUAGCUCUUGCAUUCUGGCUACCCAGCAUACCUCACCAUGGCUGAGAUAGAAAUGUAAAGCAAACAAGUGAAGUAGCUUAGAUGUGUUUAUCCAAUCAAAACUAAAAGGAAAUUUGGUGAUAUAAUUUGUCUCAUAAUUAUCACAUUGAUCAAACUACGUGUUUUGCACUUUGACCAUGUAGCCUGUGUGGUUUUGGAGUACAUAUUUUAUCUUUGAACUUCGGCUAAAUUAGCAUG